rnacentral:rRNA from 1 species
GACGAACGCUGGCGGCACGCCUAACACAUGCAAGUCGAACGGACUUAAAAGAGCUUGCUUUUUUAAGUUAGUGGCGGACGGGUGAGUAACACGUGAGCAACCUGCCUCUGAGAGGGGGAUAGCUUCUGGAAACGGAUGGUAAUACCCCAUAAAAUAUAAAUAUCGCAUGAUAGAUAUAUCAAAGGAAUUCGCUUAGAGAUGGGCUCGCGUCUGAUGAGGUAGUUGGUGAGGUAACGGCUCACCAAGUCGACGAGCAGUAGCCGGACUGAGAGGUUGAACGGUCAGAUUGAGACUGAGACAAGACCCAGACUCGUACGAGAGGCAGCAGUGGGGAAAAUUGCAGCAGGGGGGGAACUCUGAAGCGGCGAUGGCGGGAGGAGGAAGAAGGUUUUCGGAUCGGAAACUGCUUUUAACAGAGAGGAUGAUGACGGUACCUGUAGAAAAAGCUCCGGCUAACUACGU